CUGUGAACCUAAAACUGCUCUAAAGAAGUCUAUUCAAAGAUUUUUCUUUUAAAGCAGGGGAACAUUUGCUAUAUUAAGAUCAUACAUGUGUCUGUCCCCAGACCUAGUUCUUUCCCUACUUAUGGUUUUAUAAAGAUUGUGAUAAAC
ensembl:snoRNA SNORA72 Small nucleolar RNA SNORA72